rnacentral:tRNA from 1 species
GGUAGGCUGGCCGAGUGGACGAAGGCGCUUGUCUUGAAAACAAGAGUACCGAAAGGUACCGGGAGUUCGAAUCUCUCGCCUACCGCCA